AUGAACGAGAAGCUGCUCCACGGGCAUGACCUACACGAGAUGGAUGCGCUCUACCGCCGCUUGCUGAACCGCACCCACCACACCCGCCCCGACCCGCCCGUCUCCGCCGCCGCUCGCCUCUCCGCCCUCCCCCCCGACGACGUCGUCGACCGCGUCAGCCGCCUUCCCGACACGGUCCUCCGCCACAUCGUCUCCCUCCUGCCCGUCAAGGACGCCGCGCGCAGCGCCGCGCUCUCCCACCGCUGGCGCGGGGUCUGGCGCUCCGCCCCGCUCGUCCUCGUCGACGCCGAUCUCGCCCCCGCCACCUCCGCCCUGUCCCGCGCCGAUCUCGCCCCCGCCACCUCCGCCCUGUCCCGCGUGCUCGAGGCGCACCCGGGGCCCUUCCGCUGCGUCCACCUGAUCAAGAGCUGCAGGGAGGAGUUCCAUUGCCUGCUCACGCGCUGGAUCGAGCUUCUCGCCACCAAGGGCAUACAGGAACUCGUCAUCCUCGACCAAUGGGAUCCUCCGUUCAACGCCGUCCUCCCCUCCACCUUCUUCGGCAUGGCCAUCCUCACCCGGCUCCACCUCGGCUCCUGGAAGUUCUCGGACACGGCCGGCCUCCCGCGCUCCGCCUCUUUCCCCAAACUCCGUGAGCUCGGGCUCUGCAACAUCCUUGUAGAGAGUAGGGAUUUGGACUUCAUCCUCGACAGGAGCCCCGUGCUGGAGACGCUCAGUGACGAAGGUAAUUUUUUCACGCUCCGGCUCCGCCUUGUCAGCCAAAGCCUCUGGUGCGUGCAGAUCAUCGGAUCCUUCUUCGAAGAAAUCUUCGUGGUGAACGCCCCACGCCUUGAGCGGCUCAUCAAUCUGGAAGGCUGGACCCAUGAUAGCAGUCGCACCAAGGUGAAGAUUGGCCAUGCCCCCAAGCUGUUGUUGGCUUACUUGGAGUUGGACCCACGAAAUCAGGUCCUAGAGGUCGGCAACACCAUCAUCAAGGUUGGGACAAGGGUGAGCCCAAGAACCAUGGUACCAAGUGUGAGAAUCCUGGCGUUGGAAGUGCGUUUCGGAGUACGCAACGAUGCCAAGAUGAUUCCCAAUGUCCUCAGAUGCUUUCCUAAUGUUGAGACGCUCCACAUCAAGUCUGGAAAGCCUGAUCAAUCCACUGGCAAGCUCAACCUAAAGUUCUGGCAUGAGUCUGGUACCAUAGAAUGCAUCCGGUCACGCAUCAAGCUGCUGGUUUUCCAUGAUUUCCUAGGGGGUCGAAGUGAGCUCGCCUUCCUCAAAUAUUUCUUUGAGAGUGCAUUGGUACUGAAGGAGGUGUCGAUUCGGUUGUCCGCUGGCUUCACUUCGGCGGAGGAGGUGCAUUCCAAAGUGGCGAGUCUGCGGUCCAGGAAACGGGCCAGUGAAACCCCCAUAGUGCGGGUCACUGGCUGGUCUGAACCUCAAGGAGGUUUCAUCCAGAGCUUCAAGAGAGGAUCUGAUUUCUCUCUUCAGGGUCCUUUUGCAAACUACUGA
rnacentral:rRNA from 1 species